rnacentral:lncRNA from 1 species
GCCUGAUUUAACUUUCAUUCAUGUUUCAGCUGCUGAAUUCUACGGUUGUUACCAAGUUUAGGAUUUUGUAAGAAAUGAGAUAUCUGAUGUCCUUAUCCCCGCGUGGCGCUGUGCUUAUAGGCUCGAUUGCUCAUGAUGCAUGUGAUUCUAAUACAAGUGGUCAGCAGGCAGCUGUGAUGAAACCAUAAUACGUGUUACUGGAUUUAACCAACAUGGCCGUGAUGAUUUGAUGACAGCUGCAUCGCUUAAUUUUGUAUUCGGUACAGGCUGUCGGUUGGCAAUUCUGACGGAAACUAUGCGGCAUUGUGUGGAUCGGUGUGGAUGGAGUGAACUUACGAUUGGGUAAUGCAAAUGACUUCGAAAGCAGUAUUCGCCAACACGAGUUUCAGUCCGUUUCUUUGUUUGUGAAUUUUGUGAUGCUGGCCUGCCUGGAAUUCAUCGAAAGUGGCGGAAUAACUGGUGGACCUUCGAAGGUGGGGAACCCGGUCUUUAAAAUAUAAUCAGGAUAUGUUUGUGCUUUCUGACGCAGCAACAAUGAAUACUGUCAAUCUAAAAUUGGGAGGAAUAGCAUGUGGAGCAUACGUGGUGCUAACUGCCUAGUUGAAUUUAAGGCGACGUUCGUCAAACUGGAUA